GAUGAACGCUGGCGGCGUGCCUAAUACAUGCAAGUCGAGCGAACGGACGAGAAGCUUGCUUUUCUGAUGUUAGCGGCGGACGGGUGAGUAACACGUGGAUAACCUACCUAUAAGACUGGGAUAACUUCGGGAAACCGGAGCUAAUACCGGUUAAUAUUUUGAACCGCAUGGUUCAACAGUGAAAGACUGUCUUGCUGUCACUUAUAGAUGGAUCCGCGCUGCAUUAGCUAGUUGGUAAGGUAACGGCUUACCAAGGCAACGAUGCAUAGCCGACCUGAGAGGGUGAUCAGCCACACUGGAACAAAGACAAGGUCAAAACUCCGACGGGAGGCAGCAGUAGGGAAUCAUACGAAAUGGGCGAAAGCCUGAAGGAACAAAGCCGAGAAAGUGAUGAAGGUAAACGGAUCGUAAAACUCUGUUAUAAGGGAAGAACAUAUGUGUAAGUAAAUGUGCAAGUAGUGACGGUACCUAAUCAGAAAGCCACGGCUAACUACGUG
rnacentral:rRNA from 1 species